AGAACCUUAGUGACAAGUGAAUUCCUCCAGAAGGCGUGGUGGUGAAAAUCCUGCAGAAGUGCUUAACUUCGGUGCAAGAAGAGUCAGUUAGAGUGUUGUAUCACAUUUAUCAGUUUGACUAUGCCGAGCCUUCUGGAAUCCCAGCUGGGCAUCUUCCAUGAGCAUGGGUUUGAUACACAUGAGCACGCACACGUGUGCGCAUGAUGUCGUUCAAGCUGGGGCUGAGAGUUGAGCUGUUUGCCACGGGGUAUUUGAUUCCUGAUACACUGCACUUAACCACCGUGCCACGGACCCGCCUUCAAGUAUUCCGGAUUUGACUGUCUGCUUUACCAACUCGGCAACGCUUCCUGUUUCCUGCUAGCCUGGCCUGGUAAGGACCCAGCCCCAGAAGUGAAGUGGGUUUGACUCCUGCCCCAGCAAGGGAGUGAAGAGGGAGAAGUUCUGCUUGUCUCCGGGAUAAAGGGAAGAGGAAGGUGAAGCUUCUUGAACAGCUGUGCAGGACCUCACUGUGUGGACAGGCUGUGUGGACAGCUGAGUACUCACUGGCCGGUUAGCCGGGAGUCCCUGAGGACGGGCCGUGUGCUGACUGCACGGAGCCCUCGGAGCCCAGCACAUAGUAGGUGCUCAGUAAACCUGGCAAUGCUUUUGUAAUGAAGAAGCCUCUGAGUGAGGGGAGUCUUUAAGCCAGAACACAAAGAGAAGAGGUAUGGGGCCAGCAGGUGGCGUGGUGGGAAGGUGCUGGA